rnacentral:ncRNA from 2 species
AGAAACCACUAGGGGCGCCGAAAUGGCUGAGAUAAAGAGUAUUCUUUGGUCCCUUUGAACCUGAACUGGGUUAUGCCAGCGUAGGAAAGUGGAGUCGGUUCUUU